rfam:Entamoeba invadens IP1 unplaced genomic scaffold scaff_1105074726471, whole genome shotgun sequence.
UUGAAGUUGGAAUGUUUGAGAUGGGAGUAUCAAGUGUUCAUUCAUCACUGAACUAUUCUCGGGAAAUUCCUCGAACAUCAGGGUAGAAAGUACCAACCUUUAAUAGGUAGGUGGAACACAUGGAUGCAUAGAAUCUUCGGAUGAGCUUAAACCAUGUGAACCAUUUUCGUUGUAAAUACAGUUAUUCAAACGCUUAUGUAACUCGAUGAGGGUCAGUCUCCAACUUCA